rnacentral:rRNA from 1 species
UACAGAGGUCUCAAGCGUUGUUCGGAUUCAUUGGGCGUAAAGGGUGCGUAGGUGGCGCCGUAAGUCAGGUGUGAAAUUUCGGAGCUUAACUCCGAAACUGCAUUUGAUACUGCGGUGCUUGAGGACUGGAGAGGAGACUGGAAUUCACGGUGUAGCAGUGAAAUGCGUAGAUAUCGUGAGGAAGACCAGUGGCGAAGGCGGGUCUCUGGACAGUUCCUGACACUGAGGCACGAAGGCCAGGGGAGCGAACGGG